AUUGAACGCUGGCGGCAUGCCUUACACAUGCAAGUCGAGCGGCAGCAUGAUCUAGCUUGCUAGAUUGAUGGCGAGUGGCGAACGGGUGAGUAAUACAUCGGAACGUGCCCUGUAGUGGGGGAUAACUAGUCGAAAGAUUAGCUAAUACCGCAUACGACCUGAGGGUGAAAGUGGGGGACCGCAAGGCCUCAUGCUAUAGGAGCGGCCGAUGUCUGAUUAGCUAGUUGGUGAGGUAAAGGCUCACCAAGGCGACGAUCAGUAGCUGGUCUGAGAGGACGAUCAGCCACACUGGGACUGAGACUCGGCCCAGACUCCUACGGGAGGCAGCAGUGGGGAUUUUUGGACAAUGGGCGAAAGCCUGAUCCAGCAAUGCCGCGUGUGUGAAGAAGGCCUUCGGGUUGUAAAGCACUUUUGUCCGGAAAGAAAUGGCUCUGAUUAAUACCUGGGGUCGAUGACGGUACCGGAAGAAUAAGGACCGGCUAACUACGUG
rnacentral:rRNA from 1 species